rnacentral:rRNA from 1 species
CCUGAACGCUGGCGGCGUGGCUAAGACAUGCAAGUCGAACGGUGUAGCAAUACACAGUGGCGGACGGGUGAGUAAUGUAUCGCUAAUGUGCCCUCGAGCCAGGGAUAGCUGCCCGAAAGGGCAGGUAAUACCUGAUGACAUAACCUUGUCGCAUGGCAGGGUUCUCAAAGCAGCAAUGCACUCUUGGAGCAGGCGAUAUCGUAUCAGCUAGUUGGUGAGGUAACGGCUCACCAAGGCUAUGACGCGUAGCUGGUCUGAGAGGACGACCAGCCACAUCGGGACUGAGACACUGCCCGGACUCCUACGGGGGGCUGCAGUAACGAAUCUUCCGCAUGCACGAAAGUGUGACGGAGCGACGCCGCGUGUAGGAUGAAGUCCUUCGGGGAGUAAACUACUGUCGGGAAAGAAAGUUCUGAUCUACCCCAAGGAAAGGGGCUAAUCUGGG